GGUGUAUAUGGAAGACUACGAGUUGUCGUCUCGUAUUCUAACUCUGUGUGAAUUGCCAUAUCCAUAAUCUGUUUCGAGAGUUUUCUGCAGUGUGUAAACUUGCGGGAUUUUCUGAAGACGUUCGAACAUUGGCAAAGAGACAAAUUUUGGGAUCUCGUAUCAGAGUGUUUGCUACUAUGCCUAGAGAUGUUAGAGACCAGUGCGCUGGGUUUAGGGCAAGACCUAGGUUUACUUUCGGUUUAAGGAUUGUGCAG
rnacentral:lncRNA from 1 species